AGCUUGCUCCUUCGACGUUAGCGGCGGACGGGUGAGUAACACGUGGGCAACCUACCUUAUAGUUUGGGAUAACUCCGGGAAACCGGGGCUAAUACCGAAUAAUCUGUUUCACCUCAUGGUGAAACACUGAAAGACGGUUUCGGCUGUCGCUAUAGGAUGGGCCCGCGGCGCAUUAGCUAGUUGGUGAGGUAACGGCUCACCAAGGCGACGAUGCGUAGCCGACCUGAGAGGGUGAUCGGCCACACUGGGACUGAGACACGGCCCAGACUCCUACGGGAGGCAGCAGUAGGGAAUCUUCCACAAUGGGCGAAAGCCUGAUGGAGCAACGCCGCGUGAGUGAAGAAGGAUUUCGGUUCGUAAAACUCUGUUGUAAGGGAAGAACAAGUACAGUAGUAACUGGCUGUACCUUGACGGUACCUUAUUAGAAAGCCACGGCUAACUACGUGCCAGCAGCCGCGGUAAUACGUAGGUGGCAAGCGUUGUCCGGAAUUAUUGGGCGUAAAGCGCGCGCAGGUGGUUUCUUAAGUCUGAUGUGAAAGCCCACGGCUCAACCGUGGAGGGUCAUUGGAAACUGGGAGACUUGAGUGCAGAAGAGGAUAGUGGAAUUCCAAGUGUAGCGGUGAAAUGCGUAGAGAUUUGGAGGAACACCAGUGGCGAA
rnacentral:rRNA from 1 species